rnacentral:antisense_RNA from 1 species
GCUCUCGGCGGUUCAGAUGGGGCUGAUUUACGUCAAUCCGGAAGGUCCGGGAGGCAACCCCGAUCCGCUCGCCGCCGCCAAA